rnacentral:rRNA from 1 species
GAUGAACGCUGGCGGCGUGCCUAAUACAUGCAAGUCGUACGGAAAGGCCCUUCGGGGUACUCGAGUGGCGGACGGCUGAGUAACGCGUGGGAACGUGCCCCAAAGUGAGGGAUAACGCACCGAAAGGUGUGCUAAUACCGCAUAUGGUCUUCGGAUUAAAGCUUCGGCGCUUUGGGAGCGGCCCGCGUACGAUUAGAUAGUUGGUGAGGUAAUGGCUCACCAAGUCGACGAUCGUUAGCUGGUCUGAGAGGAUGAUCAGCCAGACUGGGACUGAGACACCGCCCAGACUCCUACGGGAGGCAGCAGUAAGGAAUCUUACACAAUGGGGGCAACCCUGAUGGAGCAACGCCGCGUGCAGGAUGAAGGUUUUCGGAUCGUAAACUGCUUUUAUAAGUGAAGAAUAUGACGGUAACUUAUGAAUAAGGAUCGGCUAACUACGUGCCAGCAGCCGCCGUAA